GCAUGGUGUGAUGGCCCACAGCUCUGGUCAGCUCCUUCGACCCGUGUGAAGGUGACACGUCUUCCCAGGGGCUUUGCACUUUUGUAUCUUUGCUGCAGUGCAAGAAGACCACAAAGGCCUGCUGUUGGGAUAGGAGUGGUUUUAUUGUGUUAUCCAUAACUCAGGCCAUACACAGCAAUAUGUACUUCAUAACUAAAAUGCAGAGACAUCCAGAGUGCUGCAUGCUCCAGGCAAAGCCACGGCUUGCACCUUUCGGUGCCUCACAGCUCAUGCCAGGUCACACGAGACGAUCUCACAGCAGAUGCAGCAUGAAGGAAACAGCUUCAUAGCUCUCGGGUAGCUGUGUCACAUGGAUGGGAGUGUGCUUGACUCACCAAGCAAGCCUGACGACGGGAAGAAGAUCAGUAAUAAUGAAGUGCUUCUCGGUAGGAAGUGCGGAUCAGUUGCAAGCUGUUGGUCAGUGCAAGAUCUGCACUGUCAGCUGGCAGCAGUGUCUGGCCUUCUCAGCCAGCCUUGCUGCUGCUUCCUCCCCACAUCUCCCCUUUCCUGCAUGCUUUCAUCUCCCCUCCAGCUUUCACUCAACACCUGCCUUGUCACCCUUCCAACCCCACACAUACUUCAGUUUUUCUUCCCCAUACUAGCAAUGCUCUGGAUGCCUUUGCAGCCAUUUUUUUUUAAAUGCAAAUGUAAAGAAAAAUUUGCUUUUUUUUUUUCUCAAUUAUGAAUGAAAAUACAUUCUUCUUGCAUUUUGUUGAUAUAUGUUCUUGAUAAACAAAUAUACCAUUCUUUGUUGC
rnacentral:lncRNA from 7 species